CCCAUGAUGUUGUUAAUGAUCUCAAAAGUGGUUACUAGGUCAGGAGUUCAGUUUGCCAUUGUUUCGGUUUUUGUUUUGGUAUUCUUGGACCCCUGAUGGGAUUUAGAACUUUAGAUCUGAGUUUUCUUCCUAUUAGAAUUA